CCCGACGAGGGUCCCAUAAGUCCACAGCACUAGACAAUUUCGGCAAGAUUACGUUAUCUAAUAUGCUCUGGAUAACUGAUGCAGGCAACAACUUUUCCCAUGACUCCAAAAAUCUAAGCAUCGGUUCAGGGUCCCUAGGUUCCCAAGUAUUUAUACCAGCUAUUCUUACAGCAGGUAAAACUACUUCAGAUACUAAUUGCGUAUAUGGUGUGGCUACAUCCCAAAUAUCAUUACUUUCCUCACCUUGCAGAACAUUCUUCCACAAUUCCACAAGUUCCAGUCCAUGCAAUUGAUUCCUGAGAGGAUCCCAUCCCUGAAAUACUCUAAUAAACAAAGGAAAAGCAAAUGAACAAGCAAUGCUAGACAAGUUGCAAAGCUUGUAAUCAUCUGCAAAUUUCCUUCGUAGGCCAGCAAAACACUUUNUUUGCUAACAAAUCCAAGGUCAAGGUUCCAGAGGAAUUCUGUUCCUCAAUAUAGCUCAACAUGCUCAUGAUUUCCUCCAUGUUAUCCAAUUGUUUCUUCUG
rnacentral:misc_RNA from 1 species